rnacentral:rRNA from 1 species
UGGCUAACUCCGUGCCAGCAGCCGCGGUAAUACGGAGAGGGCUAGCGUUAUUCGGAAUUAUUGGGCGUAAAGGGCGCGUAGGCGGAUUAAUAAGUUAAAAGUGAAAUCCCGAGGCUCAACCUUGGAAUUGCUUUUAAAACUGCUAAUCUAGAGAUUGAAAGAGGAUAGAGGAAUUCCUAAUGUAGAGGUGAAAUUCGUAAAUAUUAGGAGGAACACCAGUGGCGAAGGCGUCUAU